rnacentral:rRNA from 1 species
UCCGGUGGUUAUUGAGAGAGGGUUACACCCAGCUCCAUCCCGAACCUGGAAGUUAAGGCUCUCUUCGCUAAUAUUACUGCGGGUUGCACCCGUGGAAAGGUAGGCCUCUGCCGGAG